AUUGAACGCUGGCGGCAGGCCUAACACAUGCAAGUCGAACGAGUGGCGGACGGGUGAGUAAUGUCUGGGAAACUGCCCGAUGGAGGGGGAUAACUACUGGAAACGGUAGCUAAUACCGCAUACCAACGGAUGUGCCCAGAUGGGAUGAGCUAGUAGGUGGGGUAACGGCUCACCUAGGCGACGAUCCCUCGCUGGUCUGAGAGGAGGACCAGCCACACUGGAACUGAGACACGGCCCAGACUCCGACGGUAGGCAGCAGUGGGGAAUAUUGCCCAAUGGGCGCAAGCCUGAUGCAGCCAUGCCGCGUGUAUGAAGAAGGCCUUCGGGUUGUAAAGUACUUUCAGCGGGGAGGCGUUACCCGCAGAAGAAGCACCGGCUAACUCCGUGCCAGCAGCCGCGGUAAUAC
rnacentral:rRNA from 1 species